rnacentral:lncRNA from 1 species
GAACUCUAUUAAAGGUGAAUGUCUAUAUUUAGAGAGAUUCUAGGGUUUACUACUUGGUGGCUAAGUCACCACCUCCCUAUAAAUAUAGGGGUUCUAUUCUAUUGUAAACCNNNNNNNNACUACUUGGUGGCUAAGUCACCACCUCCCUAUAAAUAUAGGGGUUCUAUACCAUUGUAAACCAUCCCAAAGUAUCAAUAAGAAUACUCCUCUCUCUACUUUUCUCUAUAUUGUUCUUGUUCUUGUAUUAUUGUUCUUGUUCUUAUAUUAUU